GUUCGGAACGCGAGGCGGGCGCGCAGCUGUUCUCCGCUCGCAUUGGACCAGAGGGAGCAGAUGUUAGCCGGUUGCUAGGAGCGUUGCUAGGAGGCGAUGACGCCCCUCCACAGCUCGGGAGCAACUUUCCUGAACCACCUCGAGAAAAAUAACAGAUGUUGGAAGGCAUGAUGGAACGGUCGGGGUAAUCUCAAGAUCACGGAAUGGCUUGGUGGCACAGCCAGAACUAAAGCACAGGCACCCCUGCACAGUGUAGAAGUGCCCUGAGAUGCCUGGGUGAGCAACUAAGAUCCUCAGUCAGCCCGUCAUGUUCCAGUGCCACCAUGGGUUAGGAAGAACUGAAGCGACAAAUGAGCUUACAGUCAGCAGGGUUUCCUUGAAUAAUUGUCACUCCUACAACAUUUGAAAUAAGACAGUUUUCUCAAAAGGAAAAAAAAAUGUAUGUGCUACCGUGUAGAAGCUUCUCACCAAAUGAAUUCAUUUUCUUGUACAUACAAACUACAAUUCCCAGCCUUCUUAAAUACAGGUGGAGCCAUGUGACUCUUUCUGACCAAAGGAGUUAACACAGAAGUGGUGAUUACUACCUCUAACCCUGGUCCCUUAACUGUACAUUUGAUUCUCCUGCUUUUUCUUCUUCCUCAAUUUGCAUGGCCAUAUAUUCUUUCAGAGGUGCUAGGGCUCUGGGAUGGCCCUCAGUCCCUGAGACGCAGCUAAGAAAGAAAGCUACGUGGGCAAAAAACAUCUUAACAGGAAAUAAACCUA